rnacentral:lncRNA from 1 species
AUGAGUUGAAACUCUUACCGAUGUGCUUCAAUCUUUGCAUUUGUGCUUCAGUCAUCUUAACAAGUUCAACUGAAAUCAAAUAUCGAGUUUUUUUGCCUAAGGAAGUUUUGAUCAUCAAAGGAGGCAAUGUGCACUAAAUGGAUUUGAUGACUAGAUGACGAGGGAAGAGAUUCAAAAAGCAGGAAACUUUGGAAAGGAUAGAUAGCAGCGGACCAGUUACCGGAAGCCGAUCUGAAGCUGGGGAGAAAUCUGCUGAUGUAAAACACAUUUGUAUGAAUCUGCUUGCUGUUAAAACACAGCUGUAUGAAUCUGAAUUGCUGUUAAAACACAGCUGUAUGAAUCUGCUUGCUGUUAAAACACAGCUGUAUGAAUCUGAAUGAUAAAACACAUUUGUAUGAAUCUGCUUGCUG